rnacentral:lncRNA from 1 species
CCGAGAGGAGGAGCGGCUGGGCCGGGCCGAGACGCUUGCGGGCUCCGCGCACUGCUACCCAGCCAAUCAGCGCUCAGGGACGACGGUUACGUAGUAUCCCCGCCCCCACGGGCCGCCUUUCUCGGAGAAGCCACGCCCAACUGCUGCCCUGCUGCCCUGCUCUGACGGCUUCCGCUGGGCCCUAAAAUACUGUCCUUUCUUGCGGCCAGAGUACGAGGGGUGGGCCGUGAGGCCGAGGCGAGGUGAUCUUGCGAGGCUUAGGCUGGAGCAGGGAAGUGGGCGACUUCAUGUUCCUGAAAGCUCUCACCCGGGCCUUGGCUGCUGACUUCCCUCUGCUCUGCCACCUCCCGUCGGCCGCCGCCCUGUCUCCGUACGAACUGCCCGGACCCAGACGAGUGGGCGCGCAGACACUAAGAGGAGCCCUUUCAAAUCUCCCCCGCCGGGGGGACUUUGUGAAAGUCGGCAGCUUUGAAAGGAUCACGCAUGUUGACUCGCAGUGUCGCAGAUCAGGGAACUGGAUAAAGACGCAGAGUAGAGUCGGUGGUUUGGGGGCCCAAACGCCUGCGUCCCGGCCAAGCACCCACGCCGAGGCUGCGGGGUUCUCAGGUGAAUAAACAGUGGAGCCAGAGGUAAAGAUCAGAAGCUUCUGAGGCAGUUUUGAGUCCUUGUUCCAACCAGCAAAGAACAUAUGUCCUACCAUUUCCAAACUAGCCCAGAGCUUCACUAUAGCUGACUUGGCUGAGGUUUCAUUGCUCACUCCUGACCAAUCUCUGGUCCAGAGAAGAGGAGUCAUUUUCAGAACCAUAUGGAUUCCCAAAUGAAAGUCAAAGUUGUUGGAAAGGAGGAAAGGAAACAUGUAUGCUGGGGAAGUACCACCAUGUAACCAUUAUCAUACUUUAGUCUAUAGUUUUGAUCAUUUAGACAGUCAUGGAUAUAAAGAUCCUUCAAAUAUUAUAUAUUUUUUCUUUUUAUUGAGUUUAUUGGUACAAUCUAGGCAUACAAUACAGUUACAUUCAUCAUUGGGAUCCUGUACCUUUACAUAAUAGGUCUUGAUUCUCAUUUUUACCCCUUGUCCCUGUUCUCCUUCCCCCCCUCCCCAUUUACAAGCACUUUAUUUCCAUUUUUUCAGUUUCUCAUAUUUUUUUCCUCUCCCUUAUUACCUUUCCCCCACCCUUCCCACUUUCUCUACACCUUUAGCCCUUUACUUCCUAUUUCACAUUAUUAAUUAUCUCAUUAGGAUCCUGUGUACUAUUAUAGUUUUUCACACCAGAGAAACUAUUUGGUAUUUUAGUUAAAGACAUCUCUGUAUGAACAUUAAAAAUAGGGAAUCCUAAAAUAAAACUAAAAAGGAAAGUAAAAGAGAAAAGGCAAUGAUGUAACAUUAAAAUAAUCCUUAAUUCUGGAGAUGAAAAUGGUCCCUGAACAUAUUUAAAUUGCUUCUUGCAACAUUAAAAUAAUCCUUAAUUCUGGAGAUGAAAAUGGUCAUUUAAAUUGCUUCUUGCUCUUGUAGUCUUAUCUUAUUCUUUUGGGGUUUGAUUACAGAAACUAAUAAAGUAUUCUUUGUUGAGUUAGGUUAUAGACAGAAUUUAAAAAGAUGUUUA